rnacentral:lncRNA from 1 species
CAGUAUUAUCUCAGCUGAUAACACUACACCAUUCAUAUGGCAGAGAAAUAGGGAAACAAAACUCAUUCCAGCCCUUUCGUUCUGGCAUUCUCUCUGCAAAAGGCAAAGGGCCCCCCUCGCGAUGAAUAGAGCUGGGGUAGAAAUACAAUCCUGUACUAUUGCUAAAAGCCAGAAGAGCUGACUCUUUUAUUCCAAGGGGAAGUUUGGGGGUGUUCUUACCCUUGGUCCUAUGUAUACUCUCAUGAGUGAUAGAUCAGGAUGAAGACUUUCAGAUAUGGAGUCUUGCUCUGUUGUCAGGCUGGAGUACAGUGGCAUGAUCUUGGCUCGCGGCAACCUCCACCUCUCAGUUCAAGCAAUUCUCCUGUCUCAGCCUCCGGAGUAGCCAGGAUUACAGGUCCUAAGAAUGGAAUUCAGGAGUGGACAAGACAUAACUUUUGCCAUGAAGCAUCUCAUCACACAUUUGCUGAGAAUUAUGGUUUCCAGUUUCACCCAUGUACCUGCAAAGGGCAUGAACUCAUCCUUUUUUAUGGCCACAUAGUAUUCCAUGGUGUAUAUGUGCCACAUUUUCUUUAUCCAGUCUAUCUUUGAUGGGCGUCUGGGUUGGUUCCAAGUCUUUGCUAUUGUGAACAGUGCUGUAAUAAACAUACGUGUGCAUGUGUCUUUAUAGUUGAAUGUUUUAUAAUUCUUUGCAUAUAUACCCAGUAUUGAGAUUGUUGACUCAAAUGAUAUUUCUAGUUCUAGAUCCUUGAGGAAUCCCACACUGUCUUCCACAAUGGUUGAAAUAAUUUACACUCCCACCAAAUAGUGUAAAAGCCUUCUAUCUUUUAACUCUCCAUGUCAUCUUAGGGAAGCUAUUUCUUCUCCUUUAGAGUGUAUAUCUUCAAAACAUUGACCUAUUUCAACCCCCCACCCCCACAGUUUUCCUAAUGUAGAAAGUAUGGCCUGAUGGUCUUCAACUUCUAUUGAUUUAAGA